GUUCUUUCUCAGGGACUGUGGGAGCAGGUGUUCUAAAAGGAAGGAUGAAGAUAGCAGUUGCAGUGGGAUGGGCAAUGAGACCCUGGGCUCAGGGAAGUCACUGAGGGUUAAUGUGGCCGGGCAGCCAACGUCACAGCACACGAGGCCCCUGCCACAUCUUACCCACACAUUUCAAGAUCCUGUAUCGCCACAGUGUGUCAUUACUUUGAGACCAUGGACUACUUUCUCAAUUCUUCAGCAGAGAGGUUUUUUCCAAAGCACACAAAUGCUAGUGGUGGAGCUGGUUUAAGGCCAAGAAUCCUCAACUGACAAAGAGCUCAGUAAGCCCUGGGUAGGAUAAAAAAUGCAGGUGUGUCUUGCCCUAAAACAUCUCAGGAUGAAAGAACUCGUUGGAAGUGCCUCUCCAUCCAGAUUUUGUCUAAAGCGUUUAAAGGCGGCUCUCUUUCAACAAUUAAGCUGGUGUGGGAUGGAAGAGCUUUCCUGCAGUUAGGGAAAAACCUUCUCCCUCUUCCUCUUUCCCAGUUCCAGUUGCUUUUGAGUGACAGGCUAACCUGAGCCCUGAAGCCAGAUUCAGAAUUACUAUGGCUUUGAAUUUGAUCUCUUAUUGUUCUAUACUGAAAGAGCAAUAUUCUUUUUGAGAAAGCCUCUCCUAAUUCACCAGUUCCAGAAGGCUGCCUGCUUCCCUGGCCACAGGGGUAGGCUUGGCUGUUACCUUCCCAAAUGGAAAAUGAGGGUGUAGAUUUCAUUGCCCAUUACUGCCCACUUCUCCUGAUCUACCUUUGAUGAUACCAGAGUGGAUUACAUUAUUUGGACUGUAUGCUAUCCUGGGCUAUUCCGAGGACAACACUUGAAACGGGAAAGAAUGAUGUGCCUGGGCCCACCAGAGAUUAUGGGAAACCUUGAUGCUGUUUAUCACCUUGAUUCAAAUUUCAUGUUCACAGCCUGAGUCUACAAAGAAGAGAAACAGAAGAGGGAAGCCUGGUGUAAAACUCUUUCAUUCCAUUCUUGUCUGUCUUUAUCUGCUCCAACUGUGAGGGCUGCUUACCCUAGAAGCAGAUCAAUGCAGAGAUGGACACAUUUGCAGCACCUACAAAGGGUGAGAAAAGACAGGGGAUUCCCAGGCACCGGAAGAAUGAGGAAAACAGUGACCUUUGUUCCCAGGCUACAGAAAAAUGCUGUAUCUAAACUGACAUCGGCCGGCUGGAUGGCAUUUAGAAGCCAAAUGAACUGCUGUUAAGCGGCGAGGUCAGGGGUUCAGCUAAUUGUGGAACCACGGGCACUCCCCACAGACCCAGAAAUCUUUGUAAUCUAUGGCUUAGGGACAUACAUUGUGAAGGUGAUUUUUACAGUUCAUCUUUGAAAAUAGAAAGACGCGGGAAGCUCUGGCUGCUACACAUACUGAUAGUAGCCUUGCCUGGUGUCUUAGAAACAUCUGUGAAAUAUAGCUUUCUGGCUUAAAUAAUAAAAGGAGAUAGAAAGAUAAAAAGAAAUUACAACAAAUACAGUGAAUGAACCAGCCUUGAUAAGGUACCUGCAGAAAACGACCUUAUUUUCUCUCUCCAAUGCAUUAGAAUCCAUGUUGUAAUUUUGUACAUUCUGCAACGCUGGAUGAAAAAUCAGGCAAAUCAAAUAACUUUAUCGCUAUUGGUAAUAAAAAGUCUUCUAGGUUGUUUAAAAUCCAAGAUGAGUCUCCUGGAAAUCAAGCAUUUCAAUAAAUAAAAUGGCCAAGGCAAUGUAGGCAUCAAAACAGAAAGCUUUAUCUAAAGCCAAAGUUCUUUUCCUCUUCUGUUCUGUGCCUGCCUGAGGCUCAAGAUCCGUGACUGGAGAUUCUUUCCUCCUCCUGCUGCCUCGUGAUAUUGAUUCUGGCUUCCCUGGGGCUGGAGCUGAGGGGAAGGAGAUAUGGGAAGGGACCAGAAAGUCCUCGUUGGCGGGCACAGCUGUAAUGAGACAUGGGGUGUAGAGAUGACCAGUUCUACAUCUCUCCCUUCCGG
rnacentral:lncRNA from 10 species